GACGUAGGGGGCGAGCGUUGUCCGGAGUUACUGGGCGUAAAGGGCGCGUAGGCGGUUCUGCAAGUCGGUUGUGAAAACAUCAGGGCUUAACCCGAUGCUUGCAUCCGAUACUGCAGAACUUGAGGAAUGGAGAGGAAGCUAGAAUUACUGGUGUAGCGGUGGAAUGCGUUGAUAUCAGUAGGAAUACCGGUGGCGAAGGCGGGCUUCUGGCCAUUAUCUGACGCUGAGGCGCGAAAGCUGGGGGAGCAAACAGG
rnacentral:rRNA from 1 species